rnacentral:rRNA from 1 species
ACUCAAAUGAAUAGACGGGGGCUCACACAAGCGGUGGAGCAUGUGGCUUAAUUCGAGGCUACGCGAAGAACCUUAUCCCAGACUUGACAUGUGCGAAAGCGGUAGGAAGUAGCGCGCGGAAACGUGGUGCCAACGGUAUCCAAUCCGGAACCUACUACAGGUGCUGCAUGGCUGUCGUCAGCUCGUGUCGUGAGAUGUUGCGUUAAGUCGCGUAACGAGCGAAACCCUUGUCCUUAGUUGCCAGCGGGUCAUGCCGGGGACUCUAGGGAGACUGCCGGUGUUAAACCGGAGGAAGGUGGGGAUGACGUCAAGUCCUCAUGGCCUUUAUGUCUGGGGCUGCACACGUGCUACAAUGGCGUGAACAAAGGGAGGCAACUGCGCGAGCAUGAGCAAAUCCCAAAAAACACGCCUCAGUUCAGAUUGCAGGCUGCAACUCGCCUGCAUGAAGUUGGAAUCGCUAGUAAUCGCGGGUCAGCAACACCGCGGUGAAUGUGUUCCUGAGCCUUGCACACACCGCCCGU